AGGUGAUUUACCACGAUACUGGCCAGUGGCCUUUGAACGUGGGUUGUUUAUCUAUUUAAAGAUCUAUCACUAAUUUAAGGGCCUCACGUGUGCCUGUAGCAUCUGCCCUUCAAGCCUUACACUCUCUCUAUCCUACCCCAUGACUGGCCCUGUUGUGGGGCCCUUUGGAACCAGCAGUUAGAGAGCUCUGAGACCACACAGCCUGUCACAUCCAAAUGAGAGAUAGAAAGUCUGCUCUGGGACUGGGAGAGGGGAUAGGCACAAGGAACACUGUCCCCAGCCCAUCCAGGUCACGAUCUCACAACUUACAGAGCUUUUCAACUAUGGGAGAGUCAAGCUCUAAGAGUGACAGUGUCAUCUGAGUGUGACAGUGGGGGAGGGAAGAAUUCGACUUCAGCCAACAUUGGGCCAUGUUGGGUUUAGUAACGUGCUCCUUUCUUCUCUCAACUUCAAAUGAUCUAGAGGCAGAAAAGGGAUCAGUCACCUUUUCUCAGUUUCUCUUUAUAACUAUCAUCUGAAUUAAUUUAAUGAAUGAGUUUGCCUUAGACUUAAACUUGUUCUAAUCAACUUUUACCACAAAUUUUCAUGCUUGAGGGUUAUGUUCAGGCUGGUCGAGGCUAAUGACCUUCGCAGUGUGAUUGGGAGACUCGUGUUCCCAGUUUUCAGGAGCACUGUUGACUUCAAGUUGUCACCAGGUGGUGACACUAUCCUGGAAGACCUGGUUGGGACGCGAAGAGCUUUUUCUUCCCCUUUGAGUAUUUCAGUCUCUUUUCUGCCUGGGUGAUCAUCACACUGCACAUCCACGUGGCACAGUCAUUGUUAAAGCCUUCACUGUAUAGUGUUACAUUAGACCCUUAUAACAACUCUAUAAGGAGUGGCCAUUAUUUAGGCCCGAAAUCAAGAGGAUAAAACUGACUUCAGUGACCUCCGUAAGGUCACAGAGCUCAUUCCUUUCAGUUGCACCCAGAUCGCCUGCUCCAGGGGCCGUCUUCUUUCUGCUAUGACAGAAAAGAAUGAAAAGUGACCCUGGAAUCCAAUACUAAGCCUGACAGUGACUGAGUGCAGGAUUCUGGGAAACUCCAGGACAGAAAUCCUGCAACCCUACAGUGUGGAACUUCUGAUGAGUUUCAUCGUCAGGUGGCAUCCUCGGUGACAACGUGAGGAAGAUAUUGCUUGCACCACUAGCUGCUUUUCAUUGUUCGAUAUGGAAUCACACACCACGGGAAUUAUGGAAUCAGCCUCUGAGCCUCAGCCCACAGUACUCCCAAGGACUGACUUGGAUGGCGCCCUGAUCUCCUCAGGACUAACAAGUCGGGGUCUACUCCUAAGCUGCUGCCACCCGCUCUUCACUGGAGCCUCCUCUGGUUCGGCUGACAUGCUCUGCUCAGCGCCUCUUGCAACAGCCUCUCAGCUGCACUUUGCCUUCGCCUCCAAAGGGACACCAUGUACCUUUUCCACCACCCUUGGAGCACUUCAGCGGCUUUGUCAUCACACACAACAAGAUCCUAACAGCAUCUAUCACCCUCCAGGAGCACAGGGAUGACAUUACAUUGAUGACAUUCUCCUCCAAGGAAAUUCAUUUGAUACACUCAUUAUGGACACACAAGUUCAACAUCUUUUAUCCCUUUGGGAUUCAGGCGGCAACAUUCGUUUACAAAUUUUCUUCCAAGUUAAAAUCAACAGGCACUUCCCUUAGUCUCUCACAGACUCCUUCAUGUAGAGGACCUCUUCUCAUCCCCAUGGAUUCUCUGGACCAUUUAUGAAGGCCAUAGGCUGGCCAAGCGCUCUGAUGCAAGACACUGCCCCACACCAAGACACACGCUACACACCAUUAAGACAACAAAUGACUGGCUACCUACUGGCCUCUUCAAAAAGUAGAGCCUUUCACAGACCUUGGGCCUGUGACCCUCCACAUCCAGCUGUCCCUCAUAUUUUGAGUCAUGGAACCCAGCACCCCACAAUCUUGGCACAGAUUCUAAAGCCUCCCUAAGACAGGAGGGAACCAAAGCAGUGCCCUCUGGUUUAUUCCACCAGCAGGAUGAGAGGCUUCCCCUGUCCCCAGUGCCUGGCCAGAGGCCUUGCUGCUGGAGGAGUUCACCCCUCCCAAGACCCCUUGGCUACCUGAGAAGUCCCUUGAGAUUGACUGAGUGAACAGCAAUGGAUAUUCGUAGACUAGGCACAUGGUAUACAUGAUGGAGCUCAGUGGACUGUUGCUUUCCAUCCCCAGCCAGGAUGUCCCUGAGAAAGUCUGAACCAAAGAAACAACACACCUGGCCAGACUUCAAGCCGUCGUUUUAGUCCUGGAUGCCUUGGCUGAUAAGUGGCUCCAUCUUCACAUUUAUAAUGAGCUGUUGGUCCAUGGUCUAAAAAUUUCCCCAUGUGGAAUGAACAACUCUGGGAAUCUCUUGCCUCACAGAUACCCAAAAUGUCAAUCCAAAUCACCCAUAUCUCUACAUAUACUAAGGCCACAACACAAAGCCAUGCCAGGACACUGUGUAUGCCCUUCGGAGUUACAGACAUUACUCAUAGUGAGCGAGGCACACGUUUCACCUGUCAAAAUGCACAAAGCUGGGCGCUUGGAAGAGGCUUCAAUAGAACUGUCAAGUCCCUGAUAGUUCCCAGACCGCCCGCGUCAUUGAGACACACUGGUCUCCUCAUACAACUUGUUAGAAUGUUCCAGCCCAGCAAAUAAGCCUCUAAAUGAGUUUCUAUUUAGCCUCAGGACUUAUCUGUUUUUAUAAAUUUUCUAUCUUGCCUCAUCCCACAGGGUUUGGAGGACAGAUCGAGGGCACAUAUUCUUCUGAAAUCCACACAUUGUCCCAGAGCCGGGUAGCUGCUCAUGUGACAUGGGACUGAUUUGAAACUACAGUUCCACCAAAAACAAAAACAGGUUAAGUCCGGCUGCACAUCGUUCUGUCGACCGUUGGUCUGUUACCCCAGUCUAGGGACUUUCAUCGGUUUGCAAUCCAGAGGCCCAAACCCUCCAAAUAAGCCAUUGUUUCUGCCUAACAUGGCAAAUGCUUAGAGCCACAUCAAUUCGAGUGGGUACCCACUUGGAAAGGAUACCCCAGUUCCACAUCCCAGAUGACGUCAUCUGGCCCAGGAGGUCACUGCUGAAGAUGGCAUAGCCCCUACCCAAGACCUCACCUUGCCCCCACCCCCUGUGACAGAGACAACUUCAUCCUGAUCUAAAAUCUCUGCCCCAGUGUUGCCCAAGGACUGCAUCUCCUAAGGCACAAAUUGGGCACAGGACAUUUUUUGAUUUUCUUCCUUUGAUAUUAGGAGUUCUAUUGUGCUCUGAGCUCACUGUCUGCUUAGCUCAUGAUUCUGGUGUACUCCUUGUUCUCUGCCAAAACAUACUCGCCUACACUGCCAUGCCUAAAGGGGAAUCUGGUAGAGGUCACUGCUAUCUGUGUCACUGUAGAAAUUAAUGGAGAUUAUUACUUUCCCCAGGAGACACCAGCCUCAUAUCAGUCAAACCCCUCAACUCCCUGGGGAGAGGACCACUCACUCCUCUGCGCCUUCCCCUACUACCCUCUUCCAGCUUACCAACACAACCUCAGGGCUUGUGUCUUCAAUUGUAAACACCAUCACCAUUCCUUCUUCUUAGUUACACACAAUACCACUAAUCAUGACAUAUACUUUAUUAUCAGUUCAUACCCUACAACAACAUACCUGCUGGAGCUGCCACCUUCACCCAAGAAAUACACCAAGACAUUAUUGUCAAACUCAUACUUUCGAUAGUUUCCAGUUCCACCAACG